UAUCAGCCAUUUGAAAAUGGUGUUACUCUAUUCCUUGAAGCUUUUGAUUGAUGCUCCUUGGGAGAGGAAAUUCGUGCUUAUGAGAAUAUGUGAGAGUGGAGGAAGGUCUGGUCUGUCAGACUGCACAGGUGUUAAAAAGUCUAAAUACAGUGGCACUAAGGGCACACCUAAAGUAGCUAUUUGUUUAUUAUUGUUAUUAAAAAAAUUACCAGAAAAGGCUGCUUUUGUAGUUCUGGCUUAAAUGGCUGAAGGGUGUAACUUAGUAAAUCCAGUGCUGCUUCUCCUGACAGUUUAAAUGUGAAUUACCACUCAAUUGAUUCCUGCCUUUGCCAAGUUUGUUCAUCUGAUUAAUGGCUGAAAUGGACUUUCUCUGCUCAAUUAUUUAAAACAACAGCCUCUGCUGUAGCAAGGGUUAACUAAAGCAAGGUGAUUUGGGGUCUGCUCUUUUUCCCCAGUUAGCAUUUUCAAGCUCUCUUCCUAUGCAUCCAGUAAUUGUUACACCCACCUUUCAACACGCUUUAGUAAAUGGCAUUUUAACUCUCUUCAAGCCUUUGUAAGAUGCAGUGAGUUCCAAACAAUCACUUGCACAGAUGUUCAUAAGUGUUUUGGGCUGGGUUGGUUUGUUUGUUUGCUUUUCAGGGGGGGUGGUUGGGUUUUUGUUUUGGUUUUUUUUUUAGAUACAUGUGCAGUUCUGACACAGGCUCAGGCAUGUAGAUCCUUCAGAAAUGCUCAGAGAGAGUGGCCCAAUUUAAAUUAUCUAUUGAAUGCUGAAACACAAAUUGCACAUGAAAUCCCCAAGCUUCAAGGGUCCCUGGCAGGUCACAUCCCACCAGUCAGUCAAACAUUUAGUCAGUGCUACCCCCAUGCACCUAUGAAGCUGAGGCUGUUUGACACCUCUGAGAAUAUUUCUCGUGUUAGAUCUGUUGUAAAUGAGCACAUGGUCCAGAAUAAUUAAUGGUAACACUUCAGUCCUUUUUUGACAGAGUUGUGUUUCUCGUGCAGUUUGUGCUGGUCUGUCUAUUUAGCUGCAAUCAGCCAUGCCUGAAAGACAGCGAGGAACAAGACGGACAAGUGUGUCAUGACUCCUUCAUUCCAGUCCUAAACAACAGAUUCUAGAGGAAGAUGUUCUAAAAAUGAACAGACACCUGGACAGCAAAAAUACAGGGGGAGUAUCCAAGAGGUCAGGCAGCUCUUCUCAUCUUGGAAAUGAUGGCCACAGCAGAUCCACAGCCAAGGAGCCAAAUCCACAACACCCUGUUGGUGUGGGUGGUUGUAGGGAUGCAGACCAGACAGACUUGGGGAGUUUCCUUCUCAAGAAA